UACGUAGGUGACCAGCGUUGUCCGGAUUUACUGGGCGUAAAGAGCGCGCAGGCGGUCGUUCAAGUCGAGUGUGAAAGCCCCCGGCUCAACUGGGGAGGGUCAUUCGAUACUGAUCGACUCGAAGGCAGGAGAGGGAAGCGGAAUUCCCGGUGUAGUGGUGAAAUGCGUAGAUAUCGGGAGGAACACCAGUGGCGAAGGCGACUACCUGGCCUGUUCUUGACGCUGAGGCGCGAAAGCUAGGGGAGCAAACGGGG
rnacentral:rRNA from 1 species